CCUACGGGAGGCAGCAGUCGAGCUCCAAUGGGGGAAACCCUGAUGGUGCGACGCCGCGUGGGGGAUGAAGGUCUUCGGGAUGUGGGACCCCUGUGAUGUGGGAGCAUCAGAGAAGAUCAGUACCACAACAGGAACACACCGCUCAACCUGUGCCAGCAGCCGCGGUAAU
rnacentral:rRNA from 1 species